rnacentral:pre_miRNA from 1 species
UCUUUUUAUCCGUGUCGUUAAAAUAUAUUUUAAACGACGGACGAAUCCCCCUCCGCGUUUUAUUUAUUAUGUUUGCCAUAGAUUCCACGGGAUUAGGAA